GCGGUGGUGGUUCAGUGGUAGACUUCUUGCCUUCCAUGCAGGAGAUCUGGGUUCUAUUCCCAGCCAAUGCA
rnacentral:tRNA from 1 species